rnacentral:rRNA from 1 species
AGAGCGAACGCUGGCGGCAGGCCUAACACAUGCAAGUCGAACGGACCCUUCGGGGUUAGUGGCGGACGGGUGAGUAACACGUGGGAACGUGCCUUUAGGUUCGGAAUAGCUCCUGGAAACGGGUGGUAAUGCCGAAUGUGCCCUUCGGGGGAAAGAUUUAUCGCCUUUAGAGCAGCCCGCGUCUGAUUAGCUUGUUGGUGAGGUAAUGGCUCACCAAGGCUACGAUCAGUAGCUGGUCUGAGAGGAUGACCAGCCACAUUGGGACUGAGACACGGCCCAAACUCCUACGGGAGGCAGCAGUGGGGAAUCUUGCGCAAUGGGCGAAAGCCUGACGCAGCCAUGCCGCGUGUAUGAUGAAGGUCUUAGGAUUGUAAAAUACUUUCACCGGUUGAAGAUAAUGACUGUAGCCGGAGAAGAAGCCCCGGACUAACUUCGUGCCAGCAGCCG